ACUCGAGUGGCGAACGGGUGAGUAACACGUGGGUGAUCUGCCCUGCACUUCGGGAUAAGCCUGGGAAACUGGGUCUAAUACCGGAUAUGACCACAUGAUGCAUGUUGUGUGGUGGAAAGCUUUUGCGUGUUGGGAUGGGCCCGCGGCCUAUCAGCUUGUUGGUGGGGUCACGGCCUACCAAGGCGACGACGGGUAGCCGGCCUGAGAGGGUGACCGGCCACACUGGGACUGAGAUACGGCCCAGACUCCUACGGGAGGCAGCAGUGGGGAAUAUUGCACAAUGGGCGCAAGCCUGAUGCAGCGACGCCGCGUGAGGGACGACGGCCUUCGGGUUGUAAACCUCUUUCAGCACAGACGAAGCGCAAGUGACGGUAUGUGCAGAAGAAGGACCGGCCAACUACGUGCCAGCAGCCGCGGUAAUACGUAGGGUCCGAGCGUUGUCCGGAAUUACUGGGCGUAAAGAGCUCGUAGGUGGUUUGUCGCGUUGUUCGUGAAAACUCACAGCUCAACUGUGGGCGUGCGGGCGAUACGGGCAGACUAGAGUACUGCAGGGGAGACUGGAAUUCCUGGUGUAGCGGUGGAAUGCGCAGAUAUCAGGAGGAACACCGGUGGCGAAGGCGGGUCUCUGGGCAGUAACUGACGCUGAGGAGCGAAAGCGUGGGGAGCGAACAGGAUUAGAUACCCUGGUAGUCCACGCCGUAAACGGUGGGUACUAGGUGUGGGUUUCCUUCCUUGGGAUCCGUGCCGUAGCUAACGCAUUAAGUACCCCGCCUGGGGAGUACGGCCGCAAGGCUAAAACUCAAAGAAAUUGACGGGGGCCCGCACAAGCGGCGGAGCAUGUGGAUUAAUUCGAUGCAACGCGAAGAACCUUACCUGGGUUUGACAUGCACAGGACGCUGGUAGAGAUAUCAGUUCCCUUGUGGCCUGUGUGCAGGUGGUGCAUGGCUGUC
rnacentral:rRNA from 2 species